rnacentral:misc_RNA from 1 species
GAUGAAGAACGCAGUGAAAUGCGAUAAGUAAUGUGAAUUGCAGAAUUCAGUGAAUCAUCGAAUCUUUGAACGCACAUUGCGCCUCCUGGUACUCCGGGGGGCAUGCCUGUCCGAGCGUCAUUACAACCCUCAAGCUCAGCUUGGUGUUGGGCCCCGCCGCCCCGGCGGGCCCUAAAGUCAGUGGCGGUGCCGUCCGGCUCCGAGCGUAGUAAUUCUUCUCGCUCUGGAGGUCCGGUCGUGUGCUCGCCAGCAACCCCCAAUUUUUUUCAGGUUGACCUCGGAUCAGGUAGGGAUACCCGCUGAACUUAAGCAUAUCAAUAAGCGGAGGA